rnacentral:rRNA from 1 species
UGGGGAAUAUUGGACAAUGGGGGCAACCCUGAUCCAGCAAUGCCGCGUGUGUGAAGAAGGUCUUCGGAUUGUAAAGCACUUUCGACGGGGACGAUGAUGACGGUACCCGUAGAAGAAGCCCCGGCUAACUUCGUGCCAGCAGCCGCGGUAAUACGAAGGGGGCUAGCGUUGCUCGGAAUGACUGGGCGUAAAGGGCGUGUAGGCGGUUUACACAGUCAGAUGUGAAAUCCCCGGGCUUAACCUGGGAGCUGCAUUUGAUACGUGUAGACUAGAGUGUGAGAGAGGGUUGUGGAAUUCCCAGUGUAGAGGUGAAAUUCGUAGAUAUUGGGAAGAACACCGGUGGCGAAGGCGGCAACCUGGCUCAUGACUGACGCUGAGGCGCGAAAGCGUGGGGAGCAAACAGGAUUAGAUACCCUGGUAGUCCACGCUGUAAAC